AAAAAAAAAGACUAAGAAAAAAAGGGAGUUCAGAUGCAAAAAAAAAAAAAAGGAAACAAUCCAUGUUUGAAUGACAAAGGGGACUAAGAAAUUCUGUGGUCACAUGAAACAAAGACAGACUGAACAUAUGGAGGGUUGACAACUUUCUCUUACUGCAGGCUUUGAAAAUCGCUAGAGACUGAAUGAACAAACUGCUCUCCUGCCAAAUAUCUUACAAAUGCACACGUACAUCCCACUUAUAAACCAAAUGAUAUAAGAAUAAGAAUGAAUCUUAUUAAACAUGUGACUGCUACAGAA